CUAAUUAAUUUUAGAAAAUCUGAAAAAAGCAACCCAGUCCUGGAUCAAAUGUGGCAACGUCUGCAGAAACAGAGGGAACGUCUUCGAGUCCGAGAACAAAGUUUUUUGGCCGACCUCCCACCUCAUCAGGAUCAAAAAAGGCAGCGCCUGCAGCAACUGAGGGAACGUCUUUGAGUCCGAGAACAAAGUUUUUUGGCUGAC